rnacentral:misc_RNA from 1 species
CGGAGUUCAGUCUUCCCAGGCCCACCACUUUCAUCGAGUGAGCAUUCGUCUUCUGGUUACGGGGCCAUAGCUCAGCUGGGAGAGCGCGUGCUUUGCAAGCAUGAGGUCGUCGGUUCGAUCCCGUCUGGCUCCACCAGAUGGUUUGAUCACCUGCGACUGACCGUCGUCCGCGAAACAUCACUUCGCAUUCACUAGUCUGGAUAGACAGUGAACUGCGUGUUUUCUGACAUCGUAAAGAGGAGAUCGAUCCGAGUUGGGUCGUGCAGCAGAUUGUUGCGCGGAUCCUUCAUUAUCUCCGGAUCAUUUUCGGCGCUCGCUUUCAGCCGUGAGGCUGAACGCGAGUUGUAAAAUGAUCCUUUUAGCGAAGCUUGACCGCCUCGCUAUCGGAACGAUCUUACGAAGCAAGCUGGUCUUUCUAGUCAAUGUCCGGCUGUGAGAAUAGCGCUCGUCGAGGGCGCGUGCCGCAAGGCGGUUCUUACAGGCAGCAUUCUGCCGAGUGUGUGGACAUUGAUAAUGAGAGCAAUCAAGUGCCUUAAGGGUGUUCGGUGGAUGCCUUGGCGCUGAGAGGCGAUGAAGGACGUGCUACGCUGCGAUAAGCCGUGGGGAGCUGCGAAGAAGCUUUGAUCCGCGGAUUUCCGAAGG